rnacentral:rRNA from 1 species
UACGUAGGGUGCGAGCGUUGUCCGGAAUUAUUGGGCGUAAAGAGCUUGUAGGCGGUUUGUCGCGUCUGCCGUGAAAAUUCGAGGCUCAACCUCGAACUUGCGGUGGGUACGGGCAGACUAGAGUGUGGUAGGGGAGACUGGAAUUCCUGGUGUAGCGGUGAAAUGCGCAGAUAUCAGGAGGAACACCGGUGGCGAAGGCGGUUCUCUGGGCAUGUCCUGACGCUGAGGAGCGAAAGUGUGGGGAGCGAACAGG